ensembl:snRNA U6 U6 spliceosomal RNA
GUGCUUGCUUCGGCAGCACAUAUACUAAAAUUGCAAAGAUACAGAGAAGAUUAGCAUGGCCUCUGUGCAAAGGUACACACAAAUUUGUGAAGCAUUCCAUAUUAAA